CGCGGGAUGGAGCAGUUGGUAGCUCGUCGGGCUCAUAACCCGAAGGUCGCAGGUUCGAAUCCUGCUCCCGCAA
rnacentral:tRNA from 1 species